rnacentral:rRNA from 1 species
GACGAACGCUGGCGGCGUGCUUAACACAUGCAAGUCGAACGGAAAGGCCCUGCUUUUGUGGGGUGCUCGAGUGGCGAACGGGUGAGUAACACGUGAGUAACCUGCCCUUGACUUUGGGAUAACUUCAGGAAGCUGGGGCUAAUACCGGAUAGGAGCUCCUGCUGCAUGGUGGGGGUUGGAAAGUUUCGGCGGUUGGGGAUGGACUCGCGGCUUAUCAGCUUGUUGGUGGGGUAGUGGCUUACCAAGGCUUUGACGGGUAGCCGGCCUGAGAGGGUGACCGGCCACAUUGGGACUGAGAUACGGCCCAGACUCCUACGGGAGGCAGCAGUGGGGAAUAUUGCACAACGGGCGGAAGCCUGAUGCAGCAACGCCGCGUGCGGGAUGACGGCCUUCGGGUUGUAAACCGCUUUCGCCUGUGACGAAGCGUGAGUGACGGUAAUGGGUAAAGAAGCACCGGCUAACUACGUG